CCGGCCGGGAAUCGAACCAGCGACCCCUGCAACCCCUACGACGAGGACUGUAGCCUCUGUACAUGGGGCGCUUAGACCGCUUGGCCACCAGCGCCCCCUAUAUCAAAAUUUUAACCUGGACCUUAUAAAGCUUCUGAUAUCAUCCUUCACAAAUCUGAAUCAUGAUGCUAAUUUUGCAAACUCAAGACCAUUUACUGCAAGUACAUCCAAAGGAGAUCAGUUUCUUGGCUUCAUGCUGCUGAUACCAGAGCCAACGGACUACCGCUGAACUACGACUCACCACAAACAGACAAAUGGGCACCACUCAGGGGGUUGUUGAGACUUUGGCACCCAGAAGCAAAUGUCUAAGAAUGACUGACUAUAGUCGAUGGGUUCAGAGAUUGCUGUAGCAGAGAUGUCUUUAUUCCGUAUCCCAAUCCGUUUGCAGGAGACUGGAAUGCCGAUUGCAGCUCCACUUCAUCAACCGCAACAAGUGUAUCCUUGCUUUGUGCUCCUAGAGAAGCCUCCUCUCUCCUCGUCUUUUCAAGGUGCAUUUUAUGAAGAUCCUUCUCCAGGCUGAGGGGAAGAGGAGAGAGGACCCAAAGAUGUGCAGAAGAAUGAAUUGAGAAGAAGUCAAUUUAAAAUGAGUGUCUAAUUGAGACUAGCGUUUCCUCGUCUGAGUGUGCAGCAACAGCCUGCUAGCAAAUAGACUCAAAACAUAAAAGAACUCUACAAUUAAAAAGGUUUGGCUUUUACAUUAAGAUUUAAGGUAUUUAGAAAAAAGAUAAUUGUGGGUGUACGAGGCAAAGUUGUGUAACUGGUUAUUGAUUUAUUAAAUGUGAGUGUUGAUUAAGAAAAACAAAAGGAAAAUUGUUUUUGGAUUUGUUGCUUUUGUUGGCUUCUAGUUCCGUUUUUGAUGAGGAUGUGGGUUUGAGUCGCUGUCACUUUAAGAUACAGUUGGGUGUUAUGCAUAGACAGUGGGUGGAGCUAAGUGGAGGCUCGACUAGCUGUGGAGCCACAAUUUUCUUACCGUGUUGAGUCUUGUCAUCUUGUACAUCUUUACAUCUUGGGAAUAUUUGGUUUGAGACACAUUUUGAAUAAAGUUGUUUGUUUUAUACAUUUUA